AUUGAACGCUGGCGGAAUGCUUUACACAUGCAAGUCGAGCGGCAGCGCGGGGCAACCUGGCGGCGAGCGGCGAACGGGUGAGUAAUGCAUCGGAACGUACCCCGUCGUGGGGGAUAACUACCCGAAAGGGUAGCUAAUACCGCAUACGACCUGAGGGUGAAAGCGGGGGACCGAAAGGCCUCGCGCGAUGGGAGCGGCCGAUGCCGGAUUAGCUAGUUGGUAGGGUAAAGGCCUACCAAGGCGACGAUCCGUAGCUGGUCUGAGAGGACGACCAGCCACACUGGAACUGAGACACGGUCCAGACUCCUACGGGAGGCAGCAGUGGGGAAUUUUGGACAAUGGGCGAAAGCCUGAUCCAGCCAUUCCGCGUGAGUGAAGAAGGCCUCGGUU
rnacentral:rRNA from 1 species